CCGAGUUUACAACUCCCAAACCCCUGUGAACAUACCACUUGUUGCCUCGGCGGAUCAGCCCGCUCCCGGUAAAACGGGACGGCCCGCCAGAGGACCCCUAAACUCUGUUUCUAUAUGUAACUUCUGAGUAAGACCAUAAAUAAAUCA
rnacentral:misc_RNA from 1 species